rnacentral:tRNA from 1 species
AAUGAAGUGCCUGAGAAAAAGGGUUAUUUUGAUAGAAUAAAUCACGUAAGUUUUACCUUCAUUA